rnacentral:rRNA from 1 species
UACGGGGGGGGCAAGCGUUGUUCGGAAUUACUGGGCGUAAAGGGCGCGUAGGCGGCCUUCUAAGUCAGACGUGAAAUCCCUCGGCUCAACCGAGGAACUGCGUCUGAUACUGGAAGGCUUGAAUCCGGGAGAGGGAUGUGGAAUUCCAGGUGUAGCGGUGAAAUGCGUAGAUAUCUGGAGGAACACCGGUGGCGAAGGCGGCACCCUGGACCGGUAUUGACGCUGAGGCGCGAAAGCUAGGGGAGCAAACGGG